CCAUUGUGGACCUUUCAGUGAUAGAGAUAUUGUCAAGACAUGCUUCUGAUGAGGUCUAUCUUGGACAGAGGGACAAUCCAAAUUGGACUAAUAACAUAAAAGCACUUCAAGCAUUUAAGAGGUUUGGACAAAAGCUGAAGGAAAUUGAAGAAAAAAUCAUGGGGAGGAACAAAGAUUCAAGUCUUAGAAACCGUAAUGGACCAGUUCAGAUGCCCUACACUGUGCUUCUUCCUACCUGUGAAGAUGAAGGCCUCACUUUUAGAGGAAUUCCCAACAGCAUCUCAAUCUAAUGAGUUUCUCUACGUGUUGUUCUCUUUGCAAUCCUACCUUUUUAAUCACAAAUAAAUAUGCAGGCUUAUCCACCUAUGCAUAACUGUCUUCUAUAUCUAUGCUUAAGUGUUGUAUGUGGAUUUUAUCUAGUUUUCGUAUUUAGUACUAUGUUAUCAUUUAGUUACUAUCAUGUUGUGAAGUUUGAUAUCCGACCUAUGAAUAUCAAAUAUAAUAUAACUGGGGUUUUCAAGUGGAGCUGUUACAUAUCAUGACUUUGAAUUGGUACCUAAAUGAGUCCCAUAAAACUUUUCUAUCCUACCAUUACAAGAAUAAGAUUAGUGUUUUUUCAUUAUUACUGCAUGAACAGUCAUGCAGGAGUACAGAUAAAUAUGUUUUGAAAAAUUGAAUUGCCCCAUAUCAAAUACAAUUUUACCUGUGCUCAGAUUACUGCUAUUUUAGAGUUGAUCUUACGUUUGGAAAAUGAUACUUUUUUUUUAUGUUUUAACGAUCUACACAUUGGCUAAUUAAUUGGUGUGUUUUUCCACCAAACAUGUUCAUCUUAAUCUUUGAGUUUAUCAUUGGAUUGAUCAUAUCUAGUGUGAGUAUAUGUGGUCAAGUCCAAUCAUGUGGUGAAACUAUUUUAAUGUCGAUCUUUAGAGUUAACGAAAAAAUCUCAUUUAUUUCUCAUUAAGACGGGUGUUAAUUAUGAAGAUUGACUAUAUAUAUAUAUAUGCGGAAUUGUAAUUAAUUUGGGAAUAUAGUUCAAAAUAAGACUAAAUACAAGGAGAAGGGAUGAAGACUUUUUUAACUCAUAUUUUACACUAUACUCAAUAUAUUUUGAUACUCUUACUGACUUAGCGAGCAUCAGAAUAUUUUCUACAAGUAGAAUCCCCUCAUUUUCUUAGAGUCAAUUCAUGAAACUUGCAAGGAUAUCAUCCGGUAACCAUCUCAGAGUUUAAUCGACCUCAGCUACUGGUUGAGAGAUAUCCAUUUUCACUAGAACAAUUAGUAUAUUUUAUUAAAUUAAAAACACCUCAUUAUUAUUAUUAUACUUUUAAAAUUAAUACUUAUUAUUAUUCCUUUAAAAUUAAUAUUUAUUAUUAUUUAAAAAUUAAUACUUAUUAUUAUUAUUACUUUAAAAUUAAUAUUUUAUUAUUAAUAUUGUUAUUGUUAUUUUUCCUUUAAGUCUUAAAAAAAUAUUUAUAAAUAAUAUAAUUAUAAUACAUUGUGUCUAAAAAAUAUUACCAUAUAAAUAUUUAGAUAUUGCAUUUUGAAUUGAAAGUGAUGAGAUAAUACAUUGAUUCACGAUUCACGAUUUAUUGGUACUGAAAACUCAACAUUGACUUAGAACUGAAAGGAGUGUACCAAUAUGAAAGGAGUGUACCAAUACAUAAGAGACUCAUAUUAAAGAAAUAUUGUUAGAAAUUCAUAAGUUUUAAUCACACAUUUAAUAGAAUAAAAAAAUUGAACAACAUAUAAAGAAAGAGAUUGACAAACAUAUUGUUUUUAAAAAAUUUAUUAACCCUAAACCCUAAACAUCUUAUUGAGUUGACAUCCUUGGUUUAGCAUGUCUCUUUCGUAUGUAUUCCUCUAAAAAAUUUAAUAAUUAUAAGAUAAUUUUUUCUAUUCAUAUAAUUUUGUUUUACAAAAAUAACUAUUUUACAUCAAUCUUAAAUAACUCCAUCUUCUCAAAAUAGUUUCUUUUCAAAGUAGUGUGUGCCUUCUCAAAUAAAUUUCCAAAUAUACUUUAUUAAUUUAAAUGUCUCCAUUUUUACUUUUCCCUUUGUUAUUCUAAAAUCAUCUGCAAACACAAAAGUGGAGUCAAACCAAAUCAUCUGUUUAAAACCAAAACUGUAACUAUAUAUUAUUUUUAGUGAAUAUAAAUUGUAAAUUGGUAUGAAGAAGCUAAAUAGGAUAUGGACUUAAGACACCAUUUUCAACCAAAAAAUUUUAAAUAAUGUUAUUUACUUACUCAUUUAUGCCCUAUGACAGUUUGAUCUGAUUUCAAGUCUUAACCAGACAAGAAACAAUGACGACAAGACACAAAGAGCUUUAAGAAAGGAGGAAGUGGGACAUGGUAGUGAUUUGGAGGGAUAAGGUUGGUGCUGUAAAACAGACACAUGUUCUGUUUAACAAAAAAAUAUUAUAGCUUAGAAGAUAUGGGUGAUGAUAGAGUAGUUGGAUGAGUGUGUGUGCGACACACUGCAUGUGACACGGUCCCACACUUUAUCUUCUGAUUUGAUUUCUGCAGUUAAAGCUGUGUGCAGCGAAUCGACUUCAUCAUCUUUUGUCGUUAUUCGUUGCCAUUUUCACACGCGCAUAAUGCAUUUCAAAGCUCCAUUGGAUAAUUCUAGAGGAAUUUCCCCACAAUUUCUUUUCCAUCAAUGUGUAAGUAAUGCUAUAUUUACUUUAACUGGCUUAAAUUAAAUAAAAAACAAUUUUUUAAAAAUAAAAAAUAAUUAAUUACUAUAUUAAAUAAAUUAAAUACUACUUUAAAAAUUCAAAAAAUUAUUAGUAUCUAAAUUAAUUUUUAUUAUUGAUAAAUAAUUUAUAAAUUUAGAUUUUAAAAUUGGUAGUUAUUCUAAUACAUAAUAAUUUCCCAUCAUUAAGGAGUCGAGAGAUCAAAAUCAUUUUAUAUAUACUUUAUCACUUAAUCCAUUGAGACACUGUUCUUAACGGACAAUACUAGAUCAGAAUGAUCGUUGAUUAAAUACUAAUUUAAAAACUAUUUAUCAGUAAUAUAAAUUAAUUUAGAUACUAAUAUUUUUUUAAUUUCUAAAAUAAUAUAUAAUUUAACUAAUAUAAUAAUUAUAAAAUGUUUUUAUUAUAUUUAUCUUACAUUAGAUAUGACUGAUAUUUACGAGACUUUAGAAUAAUUUGAUAUAAAAUAAAAUUUGAGUCUAAUUUAGCUUUAUAAAUUUGAUAUUUAAGUUGAAAUUUAUACACAUAUUUAUGUACUACAAAAAUAUCUUUAUCUACAAUGAAAUCUCCAACAAUUUAUUGUUAAAAAAUAUUAGUUUUAUUUUCAUAACUUUUAAAAGAUAAAAUUUUCAUUUCUAUUGGUGUAAAGUUAUAUAAAAUGAUUAUUUGUAUUAAAAAAAUAGUUGGUUCUGUCACUGUCAGGUUUGAAACAAAGGAAUCCCAUCGUUGGAAGUAGAGAAACCUCGAGUUCCUCAUGGGCAAUAUAAUAUUAUAUUUUAAUUAGCAAAGAAAAAAAAAAUAAUAAUCUACAUCGUGAUCUUAGGUUUGGUUGUUAAAGAAUCAAAUCAUGUUCAAACAAAGCAUGCUUCUCGAGUGAGAAAGAUAAUCAUAUUUUAUUACGAAAACAGGGAUGGUUUACGUCAACUUAUUCUUUUUUUUAUCAUUUGAUGAUUGUCAAAUAGGAAUUUUUACUACAUUUUAAACUCAAAAUCAUUUUUUUAAAACGAUCACGUAUUCAAAAUACAAUUUACUUAUUUAAAAAAGUAAAAAAAAAACUUAUUUUUAAGAAAAGUAUAUUAAAUGAACACAUAAAAAAUUGAAAGACAUAUCAUCCAAUAAUUUAUCCAUUUUCAGUUGGCUGAUAUUUAAAAAAAAUUAAGUAUAUAAAAUACGAUAUUUAUGUAUUUAAAUAUAAAAAAGAAGAAGUUUUGAAUGAUUAUCAUAUAAGAAAUUAUUAACUAUAAUGAAAAAAAAAACUGUUUAGAACCUUCUUCUGUUGUAAUGGAGUUGCAUUCAAAUUUAUUGUAAUAAGAUUUUCAGAAAGAUAACUUAUUAUUAUUCUAUAAGGAUAAAAUCCCAAAAUUUCAUCUUUUUCUAGUAGCAACUCUAUUUUUUUUUAUAAAUAUUGGGUAACCUAAAGGAUAAUGAAAGUCUAGUUUCAUGAUCUUUAGAAUUUUCUAAUAGUAAUUGAAGCAUUAUUUUACUCUAUUUAAACACAAUAGAGUUAAAUAUAAAGUGAUUUUUAUUUAUUUAUUUUUUAUUAUUGGUAAAAAAUAAUAGGAAAAACUUAAAUUUUAAAUUCUGUUACUAUUCUCAUAAUAUUAGGAAUAUGUUUCCAUAAAUUCAGGACAUAUAUUUUUUAUUAUGAUAUUAAAAAUUAAAAGUGGUACUUACUUUUUAGUUGUAAGGUUUAACAAGAAUAAUCAGCUAAUUUUUUUUUUUAUAAAAGUAAUUCUAUAGUGAAAGGGAAAGUGAAAGUGAAAGUGAAAAAGAAAAGAAAAUAAUGAGACAUAUAUUAUUUUAUUUUUUUGGUGAGUAAGUAUUAUCAUAUAUAAAAUUGUAUUUGUUUGUUUUUGAAAAAAUAUGGGCAGUAACAGUGACACAUUGAAGAUUGUCUAUACCCACAUUUUCAAUUUUGUCCACCAUUUCCCCAUACAUACACUCCUCUUAUUUAAUUUCCUAUUUAUUGGGAUUAUUAAUUAUUAAUUUGGUCUUUUAACAGAGAAUAAGACAAUUUAAAUGAUGUUUUGGAUGAAUUGAAAUAUAUUUUGUUUGUUGAAUGUGUGAUUGUUUUUUCUUAAAAUUGUAAAAUGGUGUUAUUAAACAUGAUGAUAAUGUUCAAGUGUUGUUCACCGCUUAAGCAAUAUUUAAAUGGUGUAUAAAAUAAAUUUUAUUGUUAACUAGUAGUAUUCGAUAAAAAAAAAUGUAGAUGUUAAAGGAAUAAGAAAAUAUUUUAUGUUAGAAGUCUAUAGCUAGAAUAAGAGAGAUUAAAAUAACUUGUUCAAAUGAGGUUAUUCAAGCAACUAUGUCGCCGUUCAAGCAAGAUCCAUGAUAAUGGUGCAUACAUUCACAUCACAAUGUUCAAGUGGUAUCAUGAAAACUCAAAUGUUAGUGAAACAAUGUGUUUUAUGUUAUGAACCUUAUUAGAAGAGGUCCAAUACAUAUAUUAUUCAAGCAUUGUGAGAAUGUUCAAGCGAUAAACUCUCAAGUGAAGAGAAUGUAGUUUGAGUGAAUAAAAGUCUUAACUAAAAUUACUAUCUAGAGGUAUCUCUCCUAAGUAAUAUGAAACUACUUCUUAAUGAGUAAUAUGAAUCAUUGGUGUGAGAUAUAUAUGCCUGAUACAUUCUUAGGUAGUCAUACUUUUAAUGUCAGCGAUCUAACUCCUUUUUCUGUAGGUCUCCAGAAUUCGUGGUCGAAUUCUCUCCAACUCGGGGAGUAUGAUGGAGAUCAAGCCCAAGAGAACAUGGAGGCCACUCAUCAAGCUCAAGAAGAGGUGGNNNNNNNNNNNNNNNNNNNNNNNNNNNNNNNNNNNNNNNNNNNNNNNNNNNNNNNNNNNNNNNNNNNNNNNNNNNNNNNNNNNNNNNNNNNNNNNNNNNNNNNNNNNNNNNNNNNNNNNNNNNNNNNNNNNNNNNNNNNNNNNNNNNNNNNNNNNNNNNNNNNNNNNNNNNNNNNNNNNNNNNNNNNNNNNNNNNNNNNNNNNNNNNNNNNNNNNNNNNNNNNNNNNNNNNNNNNNNNNNNNNNNNNNNNNNNNNNNNNNNNNNNNUCGAUGCAACGUACCUAAUAAUUUAAGCUUUUUCCUUUUAAUACUUAAAAAAAAAAUCCUAAAGAACUUUUAGAUGGGUUUUCCAAAGAUUAAAUCCUACAAAAAUAACAUCCCCUUAUCACCAAUUACUCAAGAUGAAUAGAAAAUAAUAAUAUAUUAUUGAUAGAAAUUGAGUCACUUGUUUAAUUAGUCUAUAUUAUUCCCUAUUUUUCCGCUUUCUCAAGUCUGAAAAAUGAUACCACACCAUAAUAGUCAUAAUUUUUUCUCAUCUUAGAGAUAGUUUAGAAAAAAAGUUUUUUAUUAAAAUAAAUAUUUAACUUUUAUUUAUACACUACCUAUUUCUUGUUAAUUUAAAAUUGCAUCUUAAAAUAAAAUUAAAGGCUUAUACAACACACUAUAACUAAUAUAUUGAACGAGUUUUGUACACUCCAAAGUUCAAUGUUUUUAGUGUUUCAAAAUAUUGCACGUGUUAUAAUAAUACGGUAGCAGACCAUGUUUAUCAUGGCAUUCAUCCACACACUUUGUAGUCACUCGAAAUUUAUUUCUAAUUAUUAUAUUUAUUUUCUCUAGGAUAUCAUUAUUUGAGUGAUUAGAUAUUUUAUGUUUACAUAGAAUUAUAUAAUAACUCAUGGUUGACUCCAGUCAUUAGUAAAAAUUAAUUGAAUUAAAGAAAAGUAUAUUAUUUUGAAAGAAUAUUUAAAUAAAAAGUUUUAAAAACAUUGAAUUUAGUAAAAGAAUUACGAAAUUCUCUUUUUAUAAAUUUUGGUGUUUGAUUUGUUAAUUUUUCCUCACUGCUAGCAAGGUUGAGCUUUUGUGAUAAAGAAUAACUCUAAAUUUUUUUUUUUUGGAGUUUGUAAUAAAUUGGGUUGUAAAUUUUUUUUAAAAGAUAAAAAUAAUUAAUAAAAUAGAGAUAUUUCAUGUAUACCACAACUUUUAUAGAAAACAACUUUAUUGCAGAGUGAAUUUUAAACCUAACUCAACUCCAUAAAAUCAGUUUAAUGAAAUGAGGUUUGCAUCCACUUAUAUACUAUGAAAGACUCUAAUCUCUAGUCGAUGUGGGAUCUCCAACAAACUUACAUCUUAGAUUCUUGCACUAUGAGAAACAUGCAACUUAGACAAACAAAAAAGUCAUUUUUACAAAUCUCUAUAAAAUUGGGAUGUGAGAUAUUAUCUUAUCUCUCUUCUUAAUUCUAAUAUAAGGGUUGAGUCAUCUUUAAAAUAUCUAUAUUUAUUUAUUAUUUUUAAUAAAAAAAAUCUGAUUUUAUACUGUAGUUGUACGUACUAUAGCUGAUUGAUAUAUAUGUGUUUUUUUUAUAUACUAUCUAUUUGAUGAUUCAUAACUCAAACUCUAUUAUUUUUCCAUAUUCUUUCCACCUCAUCAUCAUCCACGAGGGAAAACAGUGCAGGUAAGGUAAUCAUGUAUCACUAUCACCCUUACAAAUGAUCAAGGAAUGGUGAGAGGCCAUAUUGCAAUUUAGCAGAAAAAUAUCAGAAAAUUACUUCAGUAGAGAGAGGUAAUUCAGCAUUGGUUGAAAUGACUUUGUUCUUGGAACACGUGAUAUUGAUCUAUAAAUAGGGUGUUGUGGAGAGGGUAGAAGGCACAAACAAGGCACAAGGCUUUGAAGAAAGAAGAAGAGUGUGUGGUGUUGUGUUUUAUUGGCAAAGAUGUUUGGAAUCCUAGGAGGAGGAAAGGGUCACAAGAUAAAGGGAACAGUGGUGUUGAUGACCAAGAAUGUGUUGGACUUCAACGAAGUAGUGUCCACUGCUGGUGGUGGUGUGCUUGGUAUUGCUGGUGGCAUCUUUGGAACUGCAAACAAAGUAGUCGGAGGAAUAGUUGACGGCGCCACCGCCAUCUUCAGCCGCAACAUUGCCCUACAGUUGGUCAGCGCCACCAAGACUGAUGGUUUGUUUCUUCCUUCUGUUUUCUUCUGCAGUUCAAAAUAACUCUUCUGCUUCUUUCAACAUGUAGUUUAUCAAGAAACUAACAUAGACAUAAACAAUCCAACCACACUUUUUAAAACAACUUCUUAUGUUAGAUUUGAAGAACAGUAAUAAUAUAUUCACAUGUACCAGGUUAUAACUGAUUAAACUGGUGACAGUUGUUAAAGUUACACUUUAGUUUGAAGAUAAUAGUUUCUACAGUUAUUUCUCACUUCUCACUUUCAUCAUUGUUAAACUCUUGAUAAUUAUGACUGUACAAAAUUUUCAUUUCAUAAACAUUCAGUUUAAAGAGUCAUGAUCUCUAUCUGUUUUGGGUAAAUUGAAGUAGAAAAAAUAGAGAUGAACAAGAUAAUAAAAAAAGAGUUAUUUAUUUAUUUAUUUAUGGUGUAAAUCUUUCACGUACUUAAACAUGAUUGUUUAUUAUAUAUUCUCGAUUGCAUGAUUUGGAAAGAGAAUUUUAUCUUUAUUUUUAUUUGAAGUAGUUAGACAACUCCAAAAUAUAAUGAAUAGAAUAAAUGAUACGAUCCAUAAUGAACAUAAUGAUUUGUACAAAACAACAAACUUGUUUUAUUAAAAAGAAUUAUUAGAUCUGAACAUUUAAAAAAUAAAAUUGUUAGUGUUGAUAUUAAAGUAAGUUUAUAUUGAUUUAUAAUAGGAUAUAUUAUAUUAUUAUAAGGUAUUUAUAUAUUAUCAAUACUUAAAAUACUUAUUUACUGUGGACUUUCAGAAUAUAUUUUAAAAGAUGAUAUUCUUUUCAAGGAUUAGACAGUUUUUUUUAUUAGCUUUGAUUAGGGACACUAUCAUGAAGAUAUUUUUAUAAAAUGAAUUAGGAUUUUUUUUUUCUGAAAGAGCAGGGAUAGAGAAAAAAAAUAUUAAUAUUCUUUAAUUUUUUUCUUAUUUUAUAUUAUUUUUAAUUUAACUGAAUAAAAUUGACCCGGAUUGAUAUUUUUCCAUUCUAUUUAUAAUUAUAGUUGAUAUUAUAAUAAAUGUAGCACUUUUUUUUAGACAUAUAAAUACAAACAAAACUACAUUAAGUUCAUAUUUGAAAAAUAAACAUUACAAUAUAUAUAAUAAUAUUGUUUAUUAUAAUAAUUAUUUUAAAAAUGAUAUUAUAGUAUUACUUCUUAUUAAUUAGUUAAUGACAUAAACAUAUUUUAUCCUCUCUUUAUAUAUAAAUUAAAUUCUGUUUUCAAACUCUAUUAUUGUCUGUUUUAAAUUGAAAUGACAGCUUUUCCAAGACAGUGAUAACAGUGAACCUUUGUGUGGAAGAUAAUAGUUCUUUUUACGUGAACACACGAGAGCAGAUUAAGGUUUAGUUUGGAAAGAACAAGAAAAAUGGUUUUGUGGCAUUUAAACAUGUGAAGAAAAGAAGAUAAAGAAAGUGAGAAAAAGAGAGAAGAAAGAGAGGAUUUUUUUAAUAAUUCUUUUAAACUAUGAUUGUGAUUUUUUAACAAUUCAGUGAUGGAUUGUGGAUAAAAAGUAAUUGGGUAAGUAUAAAUUUUUGAAAAGCACUUUUGAAUUUGAAUGCACAAUGAGUAUGAGUUUUCUUUGUAUGUGCUUAUUUUUCAGGGCUUGGAAAUGGAAAGGUUGGAAAGCAAACGUUUUUGGAGAAUCAUCUUCCUUCGUUACCAACCUUGGGAGAUAGGCAAGAUGCAUUCAAUAUUUCUUUUGAAUGGGAUGAGAGUUUUGGAAUUCCAGGAGCAUUCUACAUCAAAAACUUUAUGCAAGCUGAGUUUUUCCUUGUGAGUCUCACUCUUGAAGACAUUCCAAAUCAUGGAACCAUUCACUUUGUGUGCAACUCCUGGGUUUACAACGCAAAAAAUUACAAAAAGGACCGUAUUUUCUUUGUCAACAAGGUAACUAACAUGAAAUUCAAGUACUAUUUUCCUAAACUUUCACAUAAUUUAGCCCAUUUUAAUGAAGAAAUUCAUCAAACAUGUUGCAGACAUAUGUUCCAAGUGAAACUCCAACUCCACUGGUUAAGUACAGAAAAGAAGAAUUGGAAAACCUAAGAGGGGAUGGAACUGGGCAGCGUAAGGUAUCUGAUAGGAUCUAUGAUUAUGAUGUGUAUAAUGAUUUGGGCAACCCAGACAAGAGUGCAGAUCUGGCUCGUCCUGUUCUUGGAGGUUCUAGUGCCUAUCCAUACCCUCGCAGAGGAAGAACUGGGAGAAAAGCAUCAAAAAGAGGUUAGGAUUUAAUUUUUCUAUUUUAGAUAAUCAAUUCCAAUGCAUGGUGAUAAAGUAAUUUGCCUCAAUGAAAUUGUACCUUGAUGUAGAGCUGUACUAUUAUAAGUUAGAUUUUUGUUUUUUGAAAGUGCAAUUACUUAUUAUUAUUAUUAUUAUCAUUAUCAUUAUGAUUGAGGAUACAAAAUUGAUUUUACUUUUAUUAACAGAUCCUAAGAGUGAGGCACCAGCCAGCGACACUUACAUUCCAAGAGAUGAAAAUUUUGGUCACUUGAAGUCAUCAGACUUUCUUACAUAUGGAAUAAAGUCCUUGGCUCAAAGUGUCUUACCUCAAUUUCAAUCUGCAUUUGGUUUAAAUGCUGAGUUUGAUAAGUUUGAUGACGUUCGUGGAUUCUUUGAAGGUGGAAUUCAUCUUCCUACAGACGUAAUAAGCAACAUUAGCCCCUUACCAGUGAUAAAGGAAAUCUUCCGCACUGAUGGUGAACAAGUCCUCAAGUUUCCACCACCUCAUGUCAUCCAAGGUAUUGUUUGCUUACAAGUCACAUAUAUAUCUCAAGUAAAAUCAACUGAAAUUACUUCACAUCCAAUAUUUAUCAUAUUUAACAUUUACAUGUUUUUCAUAUUAUUUGGAGCAGUUAGUAAGUCUGCAUGGAUGACUGAUGAAGAAUUUGGAAGAGAGAUGCUUGCUGGUGUUAAUCCUUGCCUAAUUCAACGCCUUCAAGUAAAUAAUGCUUUAUUGUUCAUUAAAUUGGAAUGAUUUGGUUUUCAUUUGAAUUAUAUUCGUUGUUUCUCAUGUUAAUUUACUGGCAAUGUUAUUUAAUGAAUGACAGGAGUUCCCUCCAAAGAGCAAGCUAGAUGCUUCUGUGUAUGGUGAUCAAACUAGCACAAUUACUAAAGAAAAUUUGGAGAUCAACCUUGGUGGACUCACUGUGGAAGAGGUGAAUGAUAUUUAUUAAUUCCAUGGCAAAAUGAUACAUGAAUCUCCAUUUAACCAUGACACUGAAUGUUUAUAAUGAUAUUUGUUCAACAGGCAUUGAAUGGUAACAAACUGUUCAUAUUAGAUCACCAUGAUGCAUUCCUACCAUAUCUGAGGAAGAUCAAUGACCUACCCACCGCAAAGUCUUAUGCCACAAGGACAAUCCUUUUCUUGAAAGAUGAUGGCACAUUGAAGCCAUUGGCUAUUGAAUUAAGUCUUCCACAUCCUAGGGGAGAUGAGUUUGGUGCUGUUAGCAGAGUUAUCUUGCCUGCAGACCAAGGCGCUGAAAGCACAAUUUGGCUAUUGGCUAAGGCUUAUGUUGUAGUAAAUGACUCUUGCUAUCAUCAACUCAUGAGCCACUGGUAUGCAUAAACUCUCCCAUUUGUCAUCACUUAUCAUAAACCAACUAUUAAGUGAUUCUUAAUUUAUUUGGUUUGCCAUAUCAUUUGAUCACAGGCUAAAUACCCAUGCCACAAUUGAGCCCUUUGUCAUAGCAACAAAUAGGCAUCUCAGUGUGCUCCACCCUAUAUACAAACUCUUGUCGCCUCACUAUCGUGACACCAUGAAUAUCAAUGGACUUGCACGACAAUCACUCAUCAAUGCAGGUGGUAUUAUUGAGCAAUCAUUUUUGCCCGGGCCAUUCUCUGUGGAGAUGUCUUCAGCAGUUUACAAAAGUUGGGUUUUCACUGAUCAGGCUCUUCCUGCUGAUCUUAUUAAGAGGUAAUAUUUAUGCAUUACUGUAAAAAUUUUCAAGUUAAAAUUGUUCAUUUAUUUCAUACCAACAUUGUGUGUCCUUUUAAUCUAUUUUCUGAAGAAACUUUAGUAAAUAUUAAAAGAUCUUGAUUUUUAUACAUUGUCAAUGUAAACCCAUUAUAAAUAACGUCAAGUAUUAUUUUAUGGUAUUGUGGUAGAAACUAACCAACUUAUCAUAAAUACAAUAUGUUAUUGGAUUAACAUAUAAAAGUCUUUUACUCUUUGUGCAUUAUGUAUAUUUUAUAUUUAAAAUGUUAAAAGCGAGUAUUGCCUUGUGGAAGUUAAAGACUGAUGAGAUAGUCAAAAUUCAUUUCAAUGAUAUUAUUUACUUAAGUAAAAUUGUUUUUUAUCUAAAAAAUGAAAGAGAAAUUUGGUGUUAACAACAAGUCCUUUGUUAUCUCCUUGAUUCAGAGGAAUGGCAAUUGAGGAUCCAUCCUCUCCACAUGGCCUUCGUCUAGUGAUUGAUGACUACCCUUAUGCUGUCGAUGGACUAGAGAUAUGGAGUGCUAUCCAGUCCUGGGUUAAAGACUAUGUCUCAUUGUACUAUGCCACAGAUGAUGCAAUUAAGAAAGACACAGAACUCCAAACUUGGUGGAAGGAAGCUGUUGAGAAGGGUCAUGGUGACUUGAAAGACAAACCAUGGUGGCCAAAGUUGAACACUCCUCAAAAUCUGAUUCACAUUUGCAGCAUUAUAAUAUGGACUGCUUCAGCUCUCCAUGCAGCUGUUAAUUUUGGACAAUACCCUUAUGGAGGUUACAUCCUAAACCGUCCAACUCUAACCAGAAGAUUGAUCCCAGAGCCAGGAACCAAAGAAUAUGAUGAGCUGAGCAGCAAUCAUCAAAAGGCUUAUCUGAGAACAAUUACAGGAAAAUAUGAGGCCAUUGUGGACCUUUCUGUGAUAGAGAUAUUGUCAAGACAUGCUUCUGAUGAGGUCUAUCUUGGACAGAGGGACAAUCCUAAUUGGACCGAUGAUACAAAGGCUCUUCAAGCCUUUCAAAAGUUUGGAAACAAACUGAAGGAAAUUGAGAAUAAGAUCUUAGGAAGGAACAACAAUUCAAGUCUCAGAAACCGUGUUGGGCCAGUUAAGAUGCCCUACACUGUGCUUCUUCCUACCAGUAAGGAAGGUCUCACUUUCAGAGGAAUCCCCAACAGCAUCUCUAUUUAAGGAGUCUACCUGUGUGGUUUAAUGUCUGUCCUACUUUAUCGCUCAAUACCAAAUAAUUAUGUUUGCUUGUCUCUGCAUAAUUGUCGGGUGUAUGCUUAAGUAAUGUAUGGGGAUCUUACAUGGUUCUCCUUUUAAUAAGAGUGGUAUCAUUUUGUGUUAAGUAUUGGGUUAUAUAAGUCUGAUAUCUCGGAUUUUGAAUAUCAAAUCAAAUUUCUCUCUGCCAUAUACAUUUUUAACAUAAACCUGUUGCAUGACUUUGAUUUGGGUAUCUAAAUUUCUACCUCAUAAAAAACAGAACAAGCUUCAUUUUUUUUUCCUUAAAUACUACUAAUAAUUAUUUUACUUUUUGAAGAAAAUAAAAAUGGAAUCAAGAAGAAGUAUUUUAAAAUAAAAGCAAAGAGAAAAAAUAAAAUAAUUGUAAUAAUAAAAAACUCUUUUCUACUUAUUGCAGUUCUGUUUCACUUUGCAUAUCCCUAGCCCGUCUCACUCUUUUCCUUUCCACACCCAUUUGCUUCUCUCCACGCACCCAUGCCACUCUUUUUUCUCACCCCAUUCUCAGUGCCACGCCGCCGCGCCGUCAACCGUUGCCAUCCAUCAUCAUCCUGCAUAUGUUUUUUAUUUUCCUCAUAUUUUUGGUUUCUUAUCACCUUUUCUCUCUCUUCAUUGAUUCAUACACUCAUAAAACAUAUUUAAAUGGCGGGUUCCACGUUUUUUUAUACAAACAAGAUAAAAUUAAAUUCAAAAUUCAAACAUAACAAAAAAAGAAUCUGAGCCCAUUCCGCAGCCCGACUUACGUUUUCUCACUGCACCCCUCCUUUACCGUCACACUCCUCUUAUUUCAAAACAAGGGAAAUCUGGGCACAUUCUGCUGGUCCAGCUACUUUUUACUUUCUGACCCCUUUGUCUACCUGCGCGACCCUCACUCAAAGCUUAACCAUAUUUACUCUAGCACGUUUUUUGUUUUUAAUUUUUAUUAAUAAAAAUUUGAAAAAUAAUAAAUAAAUUAGCAAGGGGCGACUCCUUCUUAAUUUUUUUUGUGUGAAAAUCUUAUUUUAUUUCGCAUCCCAUCGUUACCGCGAUAGAUCUUAAAACUAGGUUGUUGCCACUAUACAAUAACAAAGACACCACUAAUAAAGGUCUUAUAUCAAUCUUUGUGAAAAAGUUGUAUCGUGACACCAACAAUUUAUAUUUCUCUGUUGGUGAGAUGACCAUCACUUCGGAUGAUGUGCUAGUAUUGCUACAUCUUCCCAUUGUGGGAUAGUUUUUUUCGUAUAUGAUUUUGGAUUUUAAAUCAACUUUAUCAUUGUUGGUUGAGCUCUUUGACUUGGAGUUUGGUGAUGCUACAACAGAGUUGAGCGAGUGUUGUUGAUAUACAAACCAAAGGAUCAAGUUACCAAUCAAAAUAAAAAAAAACACGUAGAGGCAAAAUUAUAAGUAACUCAAGAUCAUACCUUCAAUUGAACCAGAGAUGACCAAACACAACAUCUUUAAAAAAGUAUUUAUUCAUAUGUCUCCAAAUCUCAACAAUAACUGCAAUCUAGAUACUUCCCCAAACAACAUUAACAGGUACAUUAAAAAGCAUUAAAAAGUUUGAAUUGGUGGAAGUGUGAAAGAGGAUCAUGAUGAUCUACCAAUGCCAACUCUAACCAAACAUAACAAUGGUUCCAAUCGAGCCAGACAAUUAAAAGUAAGAAAAAUCCCUUUAUAAAUUAACUAUUUCAUCUUGCACUCCUGCAAAAAAAAGUUGUUACUCCUCCAAAAGUCCACUUUAAUUAACAUAAGAACGUCUCCUCAAACCUACAAAACACACUGCUACAUCCUUCCUAAAGCAAGAGGUUGACUAUACAAAUUCUCUAAUAUGAAACAUUACUCCUUAACAUAUUUCAUACAUUCCAAUGAUUUCAUACACCAUUCAAAAUGAGAGAAAUCAGCAAAAAAAAAUUACAUGUAAUCCAAGUCUAGGUUUUUCUUUGUAAACCCUAAACCCAAAACAAGAAAUUAUGAGGUUUUGAAUUUGAAUUCUUUAGAUGUUUCAUGUUCAAGAAAUUGAUUAAGAUUUUUGAAGAUUUGGAUAUUGUGUUAUACUUUAACAACCCCAACUUUUAUGCUUAAAUUUAUGUGAGAUUAUAGUUAAUAAAUGAACUUGAGGUAGAUAAUUUAGUUUGCAUGUGAAAAUUUUACAAAAAUUGAGAAGUAAUGGAGUGAUUUCACGUUAACUAUGUUGAGUGGAGAUGUUUGUUGUUUCUAUGAUAAUAUUUUGAUUAUAUUGGAUAAUUUAAAUUCUUGAAAACCAGAGUUCUUGUAUGUGAAUAAGACUUUUAUAAGUUUAGAAAAAAUGGAGUUCUUAGGGUUAAACAAGUUAUUUUAUACUAUUUAAAUAUUAUUGUAUGAAAGAAUAUAAAAGAAACAAUAAAAAUAUUUGAGUCAUCGGUUUUGUUCAUGACUAAAGAAAAAUGUUACUUUUAAAUUUAUAAUCUAUAAUUUUAAUAAAGUUUAAGAAAACCAAUUUUUUUAAUAAAAUCGUAAAUUUCAAGUUCAUGAAGUUAAAUUUUUAAUUAAAUUAGUUGAUAGAGUGGUAUUUGUGAGUUAAAGUUUUAGUGUGAAGUCCUUUUAAUGAGGCACUUUUGCAAACUUCGAGUUGAAUAAGAUUAAGUUAGAUUAAAGCAUGAAAACUUUGCCUAUACUUAAUUUUAGAGAUCUAGUUAAGUUUAUGGUUUUGCAUAUUUUUGUUGAAGUGAAAUAUUUCUUAUUUAGCUUUUAUUUAGCGAAACUUUUCAAAAGAGAUAAAAGAUAAAUAUCUACUUAAAUAAAAUUUCUUUAGAAAGAAAUGAGAUUUUUUUAAGAAUUUUCCUCAACUAUAUAAAAAUUUGCUAAACGAAUUUAGAUACAACAUGAAGAAUGAAUUAUAUUUUAAAAAAACAACAGAUUAUAAUUGUGCUAAGUGGAUUUCUUAAAAAAAGUUCUUACUCUUUAUUACCUAAUAGGACUGUUCUCUUAAUUUUUUUAUUUAAUUUUAAUAUAUUUUAAUAAAAUUCAUUAUGCUUGUUAAAUUAUUGAGUGUUUAUUUAGGAUUGGUAUGUGGAUGUGAAAUCAUCGAGGUGAUUGAGGUGAGAUACUUAUUAUUAACAGAGUAAUAUUAUGAUGAUUUAAAUUUAAUUUAUAAUGUAAGUAUUAAAUUAUGAAACAUAAAUAUCUAUAUUUUUGUCUUAAAAGUAUAAUGAUAUUCAGGGAUAUAUCAUGUACGAAAAACUAAUGAAAGUUCCUACUACCUAUUUGAGCAUGAGUAGGAAUUUUGAGAAAAACAAUAUCAUGACUCAAAUUGAGAAAGUUGUUCCAAAUUAGAAUUUAUUAUCCUUAAACUAUGUUGGUUAUUAAUUCAGAUUUUAUUAUUAUUAAUUAUGAUUUUAUUACCCUUAAACUAUUUUACCGUUAUAUUCCAUUAAUUCUUAGUAGUCCAUGGUCUUACUAUUAAAAACAAGUUACAUGGCAAGUCAUCAACCUUUUUAUAAGAAAUAAAAUGAGUCAUUUUGGAAAAUCUUAAACAACCACGAGGAUAAAAUCUUUCUCCCAUUGAGUCUAUUGCAAACUUCCAUUGAAAUAUCAAGUCAAAAAUUAUUAGGAAAAGACAAAGGAAUGUACAAACCAUGUGGUUUCAUUAUUGAUUUGACCUUUUUACAAGUAAUGCAAUUUUUACAAAAUUUGUUCACAUCACAUUUCAUGUGAGGCCAUUAAUAAUGUUCAUACAAACUAUUUAAGGUAUUUUGAACCCCAAAGUGUCCCACUAACCCUCCCUCAUGUACUUCUCUAACUAAAAGAUCCUUAAUAGAACAUUUAGGCACACAAAAUCUUAUCUCUUUAAACAAAUAAUCAUUGUGCCUAAAAUAUCCAUUGGUGCUAAAAGUUUACGAGAAACAAAAGUUCCAGAAAAUUCAUAAUCAUGUGAAUAAAUUUCUUUCAAAAAUUUAAGACAAUUUUUUUGUUUGUUUAAAAAGUAGAAAUCAAAACAUGUCUUCUAGAUAAAACAUCAAGUACAAUAUUUUAUUUUCCUUUUUUUAUGCUUUAUGACAUACAAAAAUUAUUCUAAAACUUCAACUCAUUUGACAUGUCUUUUAUUUAAUUUUUGGCCUUUUAAAUAUUUUAAAGACUUAUGAUUUAUAUGAAUAAGAAAUUCUUUAUGUAAAAUAAAUAUGUCAAGUUUGUAACACUCUCACCGAGGCAUACAAUUGUUUAUCAUAAGUGGGAUAGUUUAGGGUGAUCCCUUUUAACUUCUCAUUAAAAUAAGCAAUUAAAUGACUUUAUUUCAUAAAAAAAAACCCUUAUACCCACAUUAGAUAAUGCACCACACUCAAUUUCAAAAGAUGUUGUGAAGUUUAGUAAUGCAAGAAUGUGAACAUUAGUCAAUUCAUGUUUAAGGGCAACUAAAACUUUUUCUUGUGUUUCCCUUUUGAAUGCGGGAAUAUUAAAUUUGAUCUUAUCCAAUCCCAGUUGUCUUUGUUCUCCUUCUUCUUCUUUUUUUCUCUCUUUUUAAACUUUUUUUUUUCUUUUACCCUUUGUUUUUAACUUUUUUUUUAACUUCUUUCCUUUAUCUUUAUACAUAUAAUUGAAAUUUCAUUUUAGAGUCUCACAAUCAUCACACAUAACACGCACAUGCACACACGAACCCACACACUCGCACACACACUCACACAAAUUGGAAAUUCACAGGAGACGAAUUGGAAUCAAUCAACAAUUUUAAGUUGAAAAGAAUAUCAAAUAAAUAAGGUGCCACAAAUAAGGUUUAAUAAGCCUAAUAAUGGUCAUCUAAAGAAUUAGUAAAUUCUUGAUAAUAUCAGAAGAUGCAAGGGAAUAAUCCUAACAAAGAAACUAUCACUCUUAUUUUGGCAAAAUAAUUAUUUUUUAUUCUGAAUUCUAAAAAUAUAUUUAUAGAUUUUGCUUCGUUUGUAAGUAAAUAAUGAGAUCUCACAUCACUACAAGAAAAUCACAAAAUAGAAAUUAAUAAUAAAUAGUUGCUAUAGUGACUAAAUUAGAGACCAUUUUAGAAAUUAAAAAAAAAUUGGUUUCUAAAUUAAUUUCUAUUAUUGUUAAAUAGUUUCUAAAUUGGUAAUGCAUCAUAUAUAAAUAAUGACAUUUUAUAGUAUAUAGGUGAGAGCAAACCUCACCUUAUAUUCUGAUUUUGUAAAAUUAAAUUAUACUUAUAAUCUACUUCUUAAUAAAUAAAAAUAAAAUAUAAUUUAUAUAUUUCAAAAAAAUAUAAUAUUGUCUUAAUAGUUAGAUUAAGACAUUUUGAUUCUGGAUUCAAAUUCUAACCCUAACUAAAAUAUUAAUCAGUAUUUUAGCAGUUCAAGCAUGUGUUUUUUCUAAGUCUUUUAAAUACUUCAGAUAAGAUUAUUAAAAUAAUUUGAGGAGAAGAAGAUAAGACACCAUUAUUGUCCUUGGAAGCAAAACAAGUGGAAGACAAGAGUGUAGGGGAGGGGUUGAAAACCCAAUGCCGACAUGUAUGUGGAGUAAUAGUACAAUGUCCUCUAUUCUAACACUAUUUCUCUUUCUACAUAAAAUAAAAAUAAUAAUUUUUAGACAUUUUAAAUCUCACUCAAUACUUUGUGAAAAUAAUUAAAAUUUAUAUAUUUAGAUGUAAAUAAAAACAAAAAAAAAAUUAGUAGAAAGUAUUUUAGUAUUUUACAGCAUUUUUAAAAUGGGUAUUUAAAAAUUAUUACUCUUUUGCUUAAAUAAAAUAAAUAAUUUUUUUAAGGGUUUAGUUCUUAAAUUAACUCCGUUAAAUAGAAUACAUAAUUUUUUUUGUAAACUUUAUGUUUGAUUUAUAUAAAUAAAUAAUCCUUUUAACUAUUUUUUUUUGUUUUGAAGUUAAAAACUGGUUGCGUACAGUUUGGUGAAGCUUUUGUCGUUUGUGGUUGUUCCUUUACACUCUUUUGAACGUGCAAAAUAUGUUUAAUUAGAACAGAACAUUUGGAUAAUGUUUGACCAGAAUAUUUUAAUACCUUUUUAUUUAUUUAAAAUAAACACUAAUUUUAAUGUAUAUGUUCUUCGAUGAGUCGGAAUAUUUAUAUACGCCUGUACAAAAUUAUGUUAUUCAUAAUUAACGUGAAGUCGUAACUAUAUAAAUUCUAAAAUAUUAGGAAUAAUUUAUAAUAAAAAAUUAAUUUUAGGUGAUUUUUUAAAUGUAAUUUUAAUUGAUCAAAGUUAUAUAAUUGAUGAAAUUAUUGAUGGAUUUUCAUGAUUAAUUUGUUCCAAAAUUUUACUAUUAAAUCUGGAAGCUAUUUACAUUCAAUAUAUUCGUUAACUUGGUUAAUAACAAAUAAAAAUUCAAAAUAAUUUCAAUUUAAAAAAGUUACUAUUUGGAUUUUGUAUUUGUAUACAUAAUAAAGUAGUUUGUUCACUUCAAGUCUUCUUCUUUAAUUGUUGGUGUUAGGUUGAAAGGUUGACUGAAAAAGUUACUCUGACGAUCAAGUAAUUAUUUUGUGUUAAAAGUGUAUAGUGAAAACUGAUUAAAGUGUAUCUUACACAUUUGUCUCUGUAGAGGGUUUAUUUAUAGUGUUUAAUCAUGAACUUUUGUUGUGAUGGAUUGAAUCUAUCAAAUAUUAGUGUUAAUUGAUUUCUAGCAUGAUCAUUGAUUUAUAGGGAGAUAUAUUUGUAUAUUUGGAAAAUAUAUUUAAUAAGUCAAUAUUUUCCACUAAAUCAGUGUUAGUUGGUUUUUAGGGGAUGUCACCCAAAAUCGGUGGGACAUUUUUUUUAUCGACAAAAAGGAAUGGAAUAAAUGAAGGUAUUUCAGGAUACCUCAACCUUAUACAAAAACAACGACGUCCUUCACCCUACCACUCACAUUGAGAGCUUUAAAGUGGACAACACGAGGGAAAGUUUGUCGUCUACCCAUACUCAAAUACAAAAAACAACACCUCUAACUUGAGUCAAAUCAGCUCAACUUGACCUCCCCCCUCUAACCUUUUCUAUUUUUUAUUGACCUCAUGCGUACCAAAGGUUCAAGACACCAAUCUAAGUAAGAAAAAAACAUGCUAAACGUACCUUCGAGAUGACCCAUGACCAAACCUGCAGCUGCGCCAUUGUGAAGAUUUCUAUGUGAUCCAUGCGUCCAUUCUUGAAAACCUUUGUUUCCAAAUUUCGCCUAUAACUGCUAUCCACACACAAUUCCAGAUCCGGUUAAUACCUUUGCUUUCCUCGUUCAUCCUGAAGUGAGACAAAAGUAUUUUUGAAUCCUGAUGAACCAUCGCUGUCCUGCCCACCCACUCAAAGCACUUUGCCCAAACCAACCACGCUACCCUACACGUACUAAAUAGAGAUGAAGCGUUGUUUCAAUCCUCCCCACACAUAUUACAUAUGCUACUCUCCACCGUGAUCCCCUCCGUUAGUUUUAGUCGCAAUUUUGUUUUCCAACACUCUCCAUGUUGUAACUAAGGCUGAUGUGGUUGAGCCUUAAUCUCCAUAACCCCUUGUGUAGGUCAGAACCUUCCCCCUGUAGCUCCCCUUUUAGGACUCUAUAAACAUACUAGAUUGUAAAACUUGUAUCAUCACUUUCUUUCCAGACCCACUUAUCCUCCUUAUCUUUGGUAUGCACCAGGUCAAUAAAAAAUAAGAAAGGUUAGAGGGGAGAGGUCGGUUUGACUCAAGUUAGAAGUGUUAUUUUCAUAUUUGGGUAUGGAUAAACAACAAACUUUCCUCCGUAUUUUACGUUUUAAAGCUUUCAAUGUGAGUGGUAGACUGAAAAAUAUCGUUAUUUAUUCUAUUUUUUUAUCACUAAAAAAAUACAUAAUCACAUAUUAAUAUCAUCCAUCAAUCACCUAAAUUGAAUAAUUGGCUCGUGCAAUUCCGAAGUACAGAUCUAAAUAACAUUUUGAACAAUGUGUGAAUUGUUUUUGGAACUAGAUUUAUCUGCAACAUGUAACUUUUUGGAACACACAAAAAAACAAGAUAUACAAUACAAUAAUUGAAUAUGAUCAGAAACUCUUAUAUCACAUCCAUUACAUCAUCAAUCAUACACAUUUUUUUAACAAUGAUUACAAUAUUUCUCACUUCGCUAAAGACAUCACACAUAAAUGUAUACAAAAAUCAAGAUUUGUCGAUUUUUUAAGAUAUUUAUUGAGUUAGUCUGUUUGAGAUUAACACUUCAUGUAUGAUUAGAGUUUAUUGAACAUAAAUAAUUAUUUAUAUACAAUAACGAUAUCUUUUUUGCAUAGACUUUAAAAAAAAUGUUGUGUAAGAAUUUUUAUCAAUUUUCAACACCUAAAACAUUUAUUUACGUACAUGAUUUUUAGUUAUCAAUAAAACUUGAAUGUUUUAUUUUUAUACUAAUUUCUUAAUUUAAUACUCAUGUUAUAUUCAAACUAAUGACAAUAUUAUAUAAUAUUAUAUAUAAGGUUGAAAGUGUUGAUUAUUAAUUCAGAUUUUAUUAUUAUUAAUUUAAAUUUUAUUACUUUUAAACUAUUUUGACUCCUAUUAUUACAUUAAUGAUCAAUUUUCAUAGUAUUUCUAUUUUAUAGUUUUCAAGUAAUUAUAAUUUUAUAAUAUAUACUGUUGAAGUAAAUUAAAAUGAAUAAGAUCUAGUCGGCAGUUUUGCAAUGUGCAAUUACCUUCAAUUAGUUUAUACAACUUUUUUUUUUUCAAUUAGUUUCUACAGAAAUUGUCACGUUUAAUUAAUUAAUUUAUUUAUUGUUAGUAGGGAUCUCUGUUAUGCUGGAUUUUUGUUUUGAAGUGAUAUUUUCUGUAAUGAGCAAACAACAACGUGUAGGCGAAGCAGAAUGUGGAUAUAGUUUCAGUAUUUUAGGCAUAUGAUAAUUUGGGAUAUUUUAACCCUUUACAUACAUUAUCUUGUUCUUCUUAGAAAUCAAAAAGUCAAAUGAUAGUCUAAGAAUUUUUGUUUCAUAAAACUCUAAAAUCCUUCGUAAGUAUUUGAGACAAAAAUAGCAGUACUUAAAACAACUUAGUACUUUCCAAAUGAUUAUGGAUUAAUUUUUAAUUAUUUUUUUUUCAAAUUAAGAUAGAAACAUUUGAUACUUGUAUAAUCGAAUUAAGCAUAAUUGAUUAUAUUAAAAAAAAUAGCUUUUCAGAAUCGAUUAUUAUAUGAAAUAAUUAAUUAUGUGUUAAUAAAAUGAGAUCUAGUUUUAGUUCAGAAUUACGAGCUUAACAUAACUAACUAUAUGUUCAUAAAAAAUAACUUUUAAUGUAAAUUUGAUUAAAACUUUUUAAAGAUUGAUUUAAAUUUUAUAUUUAUUUAAAUUAAAAGAACACCAAAUAAUGAAUGUACGUCUAUUCAUUAACUAGGUGUACAUUUAUCAUCAAAUCAUCAACACCCUAUCAAUAAUAAAUAAUGUAUUACAUAAGUAAAGGGAUAACAAUUUCCAUCUACAAAUAAGAAAAAUAGUACUAGUCAUUCAUGUUACAACCAUGUGCUUAAUUGAUAGUAGAAUACAUUUCUACCAAAUAUUUCAUAAUUACUUACUAAACCCUUCCUACACAAAUCUUCUAUUUAUUUUUAUGUUUUAAAGCUUUGGUUCUUUUAGAUUUCUAAAAUGUAUUAUAGAAGAUAAAAAAAAUUCUAACAAGUAUUUGUGCAUUUUUUUUUUCAAUUACACAGUAGUAAAUAAAACUAUUUUUUACAGGAGUAUUACUAACUUUUAUAUUUACCAAUACUUAUAAUGAAGUAAUGCUAUCUCUUAUCUUUAGAAAUUUAUUUCUUAUAUAUGAGAUAAAGAUAACAUAUUUUUAUGAUGCUUUUUAUAAAUUAAUAUUUGUUUAGUGAUAAAAUAUUUUAUAAUAUUUAUGAUUAUAAUUUUUAAAUUUAUUUAUUUAUAGAUAAAUGAUUUUUAUUAUUAGAUUUUAUUCUCAUAUUAGAUAUUCUAUUAUUAUUCUUAUAUUAUAUGUAAAUAUUCUCAACUAAGUUUAAAGUAAAAUAAAUUAAAUGCAUUUACAUUCAUUAUGCUGAAUAAUGUAAUUUUCAAAAUAUUUUGAAAUGUAUGGUUAGAUUAAUAUAAUAAAUAAAUAGUAUAGUAAAAAGAGAGAAAAAACUGAUUUAACUUUACUUUAUGUAAAACGAGUAGUAAUGACAUUUAAUAAUGUUUUAAUAUUAAAAAUAAAAUAAAUAUAAAAAGUUAAAAAUUACCAUUUUAAAUAAUAUCACUUGAAAUAGUAUUUUUUUUAAAGAAAUUAUAAACUACUUAAAAAAUAUUUUUCAAACUUAUUAAAAAAGUCAAUGUAAGUUUUAUAAUUUAAAAACUAAAAUCUAGUUAGAAAUGUUUGGAAAACAUCCACUUAACAUGUAUGUAAUAUAAGUCAUUGUGUACAAUCUUCAUAAUUAGGAUGUUUUUGGGUUUUUACCAAUUUUUUUUUAUCAACAAAGAAUAAAUAAAAUAAAAAGAGAUAAGAGACUUUUUAGCAAUUUAAUCAAUAACUAAAUACAAGUGCAUUUAAUUUAGUGUUUACAAAACCUAAAAAGUUGACUAAACUGUUCAAACUUAAAAUGAAUUAUUCAACACGAAACUAAACAUAAGAAUAUAUAUUUAUCUAAAAUAUUUAACUGUAAUAUUUUUAGUAUCAAUGCAUACUACUCCAACUCCUCCACUACUAUCUGGUAUUUAUUUAACAGUAAAAAAAAACUUAAACUCUAAACUUAAAAAAGAAAAUACUUAAAGAGUGAUUUUGAAUAACCUAUCGUGAAACCAAACACCUACUGCAAAUAAAUAUUUUUUUUAACAUUGUAUUUUUUAUCAACAAUAAAAAAAAAUAAGAAUAAUUUUAGAAAUGAUCCAACUAUUAUAAAAAAAUCACAUAGAAACAAACACUUUUCUUCAAAAAUUUGUUACUAACUUUCUAUUAAAGAUGAAAACAAAUAAAUCAGAUUAAUACCUUAUUCCAAUGUUUUAAAAUAAAAGUCCUAGAAAUUCAAAAUCUCUUAAUAAAAAACACACAUUUCAAAGAAUAAGACAUUGAAUAACAUGUUUUUCUUAUUCAGAUUAAUGUUUAAAACCAAAACCAUUGGUUUGUAUUAGGUCAAUAAAAAAGGAAUAGUUUAAAGAGAGAGGUUGAGUUGAGCAAGAGUGUUCCAGAUUAGAGAUAAUGUUUUUUAGAUGUGGAGCUUGCAUCUCUCGUGUUGUCUACUUUAAAGUUCACUAUGCGAAUAAUAAACUAAAGGAUGUCGUUGUCUUUAUACAAGAGUGGAUGUGUCCCUAAACUAUCUUGAUUUUUAUUCAUUCUAUUUUUACCAAUAAAAAAUUGAACAAGAAAAACAAGUAAAUAUCCCACCAAAGGCAUAGCUUAAGUUGAGCAAAAGAGACUUUGUUCAAUAGACCGCUGUCUAAAAGUUUAAAACCUAUGUCAGAUUUAACUUUUUCUUUUAGAUACAAAGCAUUUUAACUUUCCUCUGAACAGUGCAUGUGGUUUAUUUUCUACAUCUUAUAUUAUCAUAUCUGUCAUUUUUUGUUUUUAUGUUAAAUCAUUGUCCUUUCUUGUCAUUUACCCUGAAUUUUUGUGAGUGUUUUGUCACCCUCCAUUCGUCUUUUUAUGCAUUUUCAGAAGUUGUCCUCAACAAAAAACUGAGCACAUUAUUACUCAUAGCAGAAAAUUAUGGUGGAACUUGCUACUUAUCUAUAAAUAGCCUCUUUGCAGGCACAAGGGUCUCCCACAGCAUCUGUAGAAAGAAGAGUGUGCUGUGUUGGAGCAGUCAUGUUUAAGGGCAAUACCUCAAAGGUUCACCAAGUGAAGGGGACAGUGGUUUUGAUGAGCAAGAAUGCAUUGGACUUCAACAAAGAUGGUGCCACUGCCAUCUUCAGCCCUGACUUUUCCAUAAAGCUUAUCAGUUCUAACAGGGUUGAUGGUUUGUUUCUUCCUUUUCUCAUAUAAACCAUGCAAAAUAUAACAUACACAUACAUAUAUCUUUAUUAAACAUUCCAUUAAUAUUUAUAGUUUUUCCUUUUAUCUGUCUUCAUUGGGGAGUGAAAAAACAAUUCAUUCAUCAUCCUCCUACAUCAUUAAAAAAAAAAACACAAAAACUAAUUUUAAAUACUAAAUUAGAAACCAUUUUAAUACUAAAACAAUUUUUAAUUUAUAAAUUAAUUUUUAUUAUUAUUAGAUAGUUUCUAAAUUGAUAUCUAAUUAGAUUUUUUUUACCAAAUAUGAUGUAAAUUUAAAAAUUAUUUAACAAUAAUAAAAAUUAAUUAGAAACCAAAAAUUAUUUUAAUAUUGAAAAUGAUCUCAAAUUUAGUUAUAGAAUAAUUAAUUAUUUUAAUUAUUUUUUAUGUAUAAAAUUGAUUUCUAUUUAAUCUUAUGAUUGACUAAUGAUCUCCAUCUAUCCUUUUUUUAAAUCUAAGUCAUGCUUCCAAUAAUCAGUACUAUUUCAUAUUUUAUGAGACUUUUUAUAUGUUUUCUUUAUAAAAUAUUGCAAGAAAUCAGUUUUCUUGUGAAUUUUUCUAUGGAUUUUGUACAGUCUGAAAAAAAUAUGUGCAUGAACUUUUUUAUGAAAUAUGAAAAAUUGUAGUUGUCAAUAUUUAAUUGAUAAAAAAUAAUCUAACAGUAUUUUGCAUAGUUAAAUCUUUCUUAAUUUUAAAAAAAUAUGGUAUUAAAAUUUCUUUUACAAGUUUUCUUUUUGAUUUUUAUGAAAAUGUAUUUUCUAUUUUGAAAAUAUAUUUUUUUAUAGAUUAUUUGAAUAUCCCAUAUUAGAAAUAAUUAAUGGAUGUAUUACAUUUGAAUUUUAACAAAUGGAGUAAGAUGAAUUGAAAAUUUUAAUUAAUAACAAAAUUAAUGAAUUUUUUUAUCCAAUACAUUAUGAUUUGAAAUAAAAUUUAUCUAACUCAUUAUGUUUGACCCCUUAAUUAAUCACAGUACAUGAGUUUCCACAUUUAUAGCUCUUUCACUUCUCUAGUUUUUUUUUUUCUUCUAAGAUUAUGUUGGAUUUGUUAAAAACAUAUGGGACUGUACAAAACAAAAUUUCUGAUGUUUGCUUUGAAAUAAAUUAAGUGAAGAACAUAAAAGUGUGAAGCUAAUUUCUAUUUGAGCAUUAUUCUUGCUAGGUAUUUUUAAUCGGUUUCCACUUAUGAUAAAAAAAUUCUAGUAUUAGUAUUCUGUCAUUUUAGUGGAUUUGGGGAGAAAAUAUCAAGAAAGAAAAGUAUUUAUGUGAUCGAGAGAAGGUCAGAGAUUUGUAAGUAUUGUGUGUAAAUAAUGAUUUUGCCUCAAUUAUUUAUUUGUUUUUCUUUAUUUUUUAAAUUAUCACUGUCCAUUAAUAAAUAAUUAUUUUUCAUUUUUUCAAUUAAAUUUUCUAAUAAAUAUACACCAAAGAAAAAAAUUACUUCAUAAAAAAUAUUUAACAGGUAGCAAAAUACUAAUAAUUUUGAUUUAAUAUAUUAUUUAUUUUUUAUUAUUUUGCUUUAAUGAAACUAAAUUUAUACAAAUGUGUAUAUGUAAGUAAUUGUUGUUGUUAAAGAGUUUGAUUAGAAAUAAUAAGUUCAAAAUUAUAGAAUAUAAGUAGAUGGAAAUUUCAUCUCACAAUUUGUUAGAUUAAAUUAAAUAAAAACUAAUUUUAUAGACAAAAAAUAAUUAAUUGCUAUCGACUAAAUUAGAAACCAUUUUAAAAACCUAAAAAAUUAUUAGUUUCUAAAUUAGUUUAUAUUAUUGAUAGUUUAUAAAUUGAUAUAUAAUUUAGUCAAUAUAACAACUAAUUAUUUUUAGUGGUUAAAAUUGGUUUUUAUUGAAUAAUUUUCUUAGUUUAGAUAAAUAAUAUGUUAUGGAGAUUAAAAAAAUGUCUUAUUUGAGUUUGAUAAUAUUCUUUAUUUAGGGCAUAAGAAUGGGAAGGUUGGAAAGGAAACCUCUCGGGACAAAAAUCAACCUGCUUCUUCGUUACCAACCUUGGGAGAGGGAAAAACUGCAUUCAAUAUUUCUUUUAAAUUGGAUGAAAGUUUUGGAAUUCCAGGAGCAUUCUACAUCAAAAAUUUAAAGCAACCUGAGUUUUUCCUUGUGACUCUCACUCUUGACAUUCCAGAUCAUGGAACCAUUCACUUUGUUUGCAACUCAUGGGUUUACAAAGCACAGAAGGAUCGUAUUUUCUUUGCAAACAAGGUAACUAAGUUGUGCACCUAUCAAGCAAUAUAUGAAUCUGGUUUUUGUACUCACUAGGAAAAUCUAUAAACUGCAUAAUCUUGUUUCUUUUAUGUAUACAUUGGUUUGGUAAGCUGCAGUUUGACCUAGCUAUAUGAAUUAAGGGGCUAAAAAAAAAAACAUUAGGUAUGGAGAGCUAUCUCAACUCAUACACAUCACCAUAAAUUAAUCCGAAUUUGUUUGUAUAAACUUGUAACACCUUUAAGGUACUUAAUGAUCUAAUAUAUGAAAUUUAAACCCUAUAGUUUAUAAACUUCACAAAAUUCAUCCCUAUUGUCUAAAUGAAGAAAUUCAUUGAACAUGUUUCAGACGUAUCUUCCAGAUACAACUCCAACUGCUUUUAAAAAGUACAGAGAAGAUGAAUUGAAAAGUCUGAGAGGAGAGGGAAAAGAAAAAGGAAAGCGCCAAGAACAUGAAAGGAUUUAUGAUUAUGAUGUGUAUAAUGAUUUGGGCAACCCAGACAAGAGUGAUGAUCUAGCUCGUCCUGUUCUUGGAGAUUCUAGUGCCUAUCCAUACCCUCGCAGGGGAAGAACUGGAAGAGACAAAACAAAAAAAGGUUAGGGAUUAUUUUUCACUUUAAAAAAAUUAUUUCCAAAUUAAUUUGUCGAGAAUCUAUGUAUUGUCUCUGAUAUUCUUAUUUAACUUGAAUAGAAUUGUUUGUAUGAAAGAUGCACCUAGCUUCACAAAAACAAUGUCAAUAUUCUGUCAUUAUGUGUGGUUAUGUUAUUACUAAUUUGAUCUCUUUUAGAUAUAAUGAGGAUGUUCAAUAUGUUUUUGGAAAUAUAGAGAUGCUAUUUUUGUUAUUAGUAAGAAAAAAAAUUACAAUGAUUAGAAUUAAAGAAAGUAUAUGUAGUAUAGCAAAAGGUUAUAAACACAAACCUGCUAGUAGGUAUGUUUUUUUUAUUAAACACAAUUGAUUUGUAUUAGGUUUACUAGGGGUUUAUUUUGUUAUUUGAAAGAUGAUGUCGUUUUUGUUUUAUUGAGCUAAUUGUUAGGUAUUAAGGAUGUAUAAGGAUUGAAUCAUCCUCUAUUCUAUAUUUUUUUUUUGUCGAUAAAAAAAAACUCUCUUAAUGUAACUCUUGUGACACUAAUGUCACUACAAGAAAAUCAUGAAAUAGAAACCAAUUUUUAGAGACCAAAAUAAUUAGUUGCAAUAGUAACUAAAUUAGAGACCAUUUUAGAAACUAAACAAAAUUUUGGUUUCUAAAUUAGUUUCUAUUAUUGUUAAAUAGUUUCUAAAUUGGUAUUUAAUUAGCAACCAAGGUUUUAGAAACUAAAUAAUUGGUAGUUAAAACCUUGGUUAUUGCUAAUUUGAUACCAAUUUAGAGAUUAUUUAACAAUAAUAUAAACUAAUUUAGAAACUAUUUUUUUUUAGUUUCUAAAAUGGUCUCUAAUUUAGUUACUGUUGCAAAAUUGGUUUCUAUUUCAUGAUUUUUUUAUUGUAGUGUGUAGAGUUAGCUCAAGAGGAUAAAGGAAGGAAUAAUAGAGUAAAAAAAAAAACUCUUAAAACACUUAAAGACAAAAUAUCAUUUAGUUACUAUAGUGACUACAUUGGAAACCAUUUUAGAAACUAAAAAAAAAUGGUUUCUAAAUUAAUUUAUAUUAUUGUUAAAUAGUUUCUAAAUUGAUAUUUAAUUAGUUAUCAAAGUUUUAACUACCAAUUAUUUAAAUUAUAAAUUUGGUAGUAAAAACCUUAGUUGCUAGUUAGAUACCAAUCUAUAAACAAAUUAACAAUAAUAUAAACUAAUUUAGAAACCAAAUUUUUUUUUAGUCUCUAAAAUGAUCUCUAAUCUAGUCACUAUACCAACUAAUUAUUUUUUGUCUUUAAAAUUGAUUUUUAUUUCAUGAUUUUCUUCCCAUAAUUUAAUAGAGUGUUUAAGAUAAGACAGUUUCAAGUAGAUGGUCUUCUGUAUUUUUCAAUAAACUAUCACAAUCUAGAGCCAAUACAUCACAACAUUGAAAUGUCGUUACUUCUAAUUGUUAUUGUUAAUGAUACAAUAUUAAUUUUUAUUUAUCUCCAUUUCUAACAGACCCUAAGAGUGAGACACCAGCCAGCGGCGACACUUACAUUCCAAGAGAUGAAAAAAUUGGUCACUUGAAGUCAUCAGACUUUCUUACAAAUGGAAUAAAGUCCUUGGCUCAAAAUGUCUUACCUCAAUUUCAAUCUGCAAUUGCUUUAGAUCCUGAGUUUGAUAACUUUAAUGACGUUCGUGGACUCUUCAAAGAUGGACUUCCUCUUCUUACAGACGCAAUCAGAACAAUUAGCCAAACACCAGUGAUAAAGGAAAUCUUCCAGAUUGAUGGUGAAAAAGUCAAGUUUCCACCACCUCAUGUCAUCCAAAGUAUUGUCUAUUUAUAUGUCACACCUAUAUAUAUAUAAAGUAAAAUAAGCUACUAGUGAUUGGCAUGGCAACAAGUAUUUUUUAUAUUUAACAUAUCUAGUUGUUUUCCAUAAAAUUUGGAGCAGAUGGUGAGUCAUGGAUGACUGAUGAAGAAUUUGGAAGAGAGAUGCUUGCUGGUGUUCAUCCUUGCCGAAUUCAGCGUCUUCAAGUAAAUAAUGCUUUGUUGUUUAUUAACUUGGAAUGAUUUGGUUUUCAUGUUGAAAUAUAUUCAUUGUUUAUCAUCUUAAUUUACUCACAAUGUUAUUUAAUGCAUCACAGGAGUUCCCUCCAACGAGCAAGCUAGAUGCUUCUGUGUAUGGUGAUCAAACUAGCAAAAUUACCAAAAAAAAUUUGCAGAUCAACCUUGGUAAACUCACCGUGGAAAAGGUGAAUGAUAUAUAUUAAUUCCAAAGCAAAAUAACACAUAAAUAUUCAUUUAACCAUGACGCUGAAUGAUUAUAAUGAUACUUGUUCAACAGGCAUUGAAAGAUAACCGAUUGUUCAUAUUAGAUUACCAUGAUGCAUUCUUACCAUUUCUGAGGAAGAUCAAUGGCCUACCCAACACAAAGUGUUAUGCCACAAGGACAAUCCUUUUCUUGAAAGAUGAUGGCACAUUGAAGCCAUUGGCUAUUGAAUUAAGUCUACCACAUGCUGAGGGAGAUAGGUGUGGUGCUAAUAGUAGAGUUAUCUUGCCUGCACACCAAGGCGCUGAAAGAACAAUUUGGCAAUUGUCCAAGGCUUAUGUUGUUGUAAAUGACUCAUGUUAUCAUCAACUUGUGAGCCACUGGUACAUAUAAAUUCUUCCAUCAUGAAUGAACUAUCAAUUUUUUGAAUUUACUAAGUGGUUCUUAAUUUAUUUGGUUUCUGUAUCAUUUGAUAACAGGUUAAACACUCAUGCCAUAAUGGAGCCAUUUGUCAUAGCAACAAAUAGGCAUCUCAGUGUGCUCCACCCUAUUCAUAAACUUCUAUCACCACACUAUCGUGACACCAUGAAUGUUAAUGGAGUUGCACGACAAUCACUUAUCAACGCAGGUGGCCUUAUUGAGCAAUCCUUUUUGCCUGGAAAAUACGCUUUGGAAAUGUCUUCAGCAGCUUACAAGAAUUGGGUUUUCACUGAUCAAGCCCUUCCUGAAGAUCUCGUCAAGAGGUAAUGUUUAUACACAACUAGCUUUUAAUUAAUACUCUGUACUUUAGUCAACAACUCUCACUUGGAAUUUAUUUACAUAUAUACUAAUACAAUAUUUUAAUUUACAAUUUUUCUCCUGUUUGAGAUGUAAAUAAUAAAUGCUUUGUUUUCCUCCGUGAUUCAGAGGAAUGGCAGUUAAGGAUUCAUCAAAUCUCCUUCAACUUGUGAUAAAGGACUACCCUUAUGCUGUUGAUGGACUAAAGAUAUGGAGUGCUAUUCUGAAUUGGGUUACAAAGUAUGUCUCCUUCUACUAUUCAGAUAGAGUUGGGGAAGACAGAGAACUCGAGUCUUGGUGGAAGGAGGUAGUUAAGGAGGGUCACGGUGACUUGAAAGACAAGCCAUGGUGGCCAACAAAGUUGAACACUCGUCAAAAUCUGAUUCACAUUUGCAGCACUAUCAUAUGGAUUGCUUCAGCUCAACAUGCAGCUGUUAAUUUUGGACAAUACCCUUAUGGAGAUCACAUCCUAAACCGUCCAACUCUAACCAGAAGAUUGAUCCCAGACCCAGGAACCAAAGAAUAUAAUGAGCUGAGCACCAAUCAUGAAAAGGCUUAUCUGAAAACAAUUACAAAAAAACAUGAGGCCCUUGUGAACCUUUCAGUGAUAGCGAUAUUGUCAAGACAUGCUUCUGAUGAGGUCUAUCUUGGACAGAGGGACAAUCCAAAUUGGACUGAUGAU
rnacentral:lncRNA from 1 species